rnacentral:lncRNA from 1 species
ACGUCCUCGCUUUCCCUUCCUCCCAGCUGCCUGCCCCCCCUUCCCUACCCUAGCUACGCACGCUACCAGCUGCCCCCCAUCCAUGCCGUCCAGGAAGCUGGUGGAGGACUCCAAAGGGAUCGCAUUGAUCUAUUCUCACCUGCCGCCUGCUGCAUGCGAUGCGAGUCGACGACAAGAUCAGUGCAAUCCCUUUGGAAUUUUCCACUCGCGCCUUCACCCCCGCCGCACGUGCCACACGCCCCUCCAUCUUCCAUGGAUUCCAUCUCUCAUCAGGGUAAAGGUCCAGACAGGACCCAUUUAAGAGGAUUGAAUAUGCCUGCAGCGGUCGGCCGCCCCAACUGCACCUGCACGCGCAUCAGUGUAUUUCGAUCAACUCUCUCUGUCCUUUCUGCUUUCUCCAAAUUAAUACACUUAUUCCUCAGACGACACUGUCGCUCACUAGUCAAAGCAGUAUCUAGUUUUUACCACUUUAGAGUGAAAGAUACAUAUAUUUUUAAAAUACUCUGUUUAGCAUUACAUUACAUUGUAAUAUUCAGUUUUGAUUGUGAAUUGGAGAUGACAGCAUUAAGAAGACAAAUUGAUGAUGAGAUUACUGUUCGCCAAUUCAUGAUGAGAUUUUCAAAUUCA